rnacentral:rRNA from 1 species
GAACCUGAAACCGUGUACGUACAAGCAGUGGGAGCCUCUUUAUGGGGUGACUGCGUACCUUUUGUAUAAUGGGUCAGCGACUUAUAUUCUGUAGCAAGGUUAACCGAAUAGGGGAGCCGAAGGGAAACCGAGUCUUAACUGGGCGUUAAGUUGCAGGGUAUAGACCCGAAACCCGGUGAUCUAGCCAUGGGCAGGUUGAAGGUUGGGUAACACUAACUGGAGGACCGAACCGACUAAUGUUGAAAAAUUAGCGGAUGACUUGUGGCUGGGGGUGAAAGGCCAAUCAAACCGGGAGAUAGCUGGUUCUCCCCGAAAGCUAUUUAGGUAGCGCCUCGUGAAUUCAUCUCCGGGGGUAGAGCACUGUUUCGGCAAGGGGGUCAUCCCGACUUACCAACCCGAUGCAAACUGCGAAUACCGGAGAAUGUUAUCACGGGAGACACACGGCGGGUGCUAACGUCCGUCGUGAAGAGGGAAACAACCCAGACCGCCAGCUAAGGUCCCAAAGUCAUGGUUAAGUGGGAAACGAUGUGGGAAGGCCCAGACAGCCAGGAUGUUGGCUUAGAAGCAGCCAUCAUUUAAAGAAAGCGUAAUAGCUCACUGGUCGAGUCGGCCUGCGCGGAAGAUGUAACGGGGCUAAACCAUGCACCGAAGCUGCGGCAGCGACACUAUGUGUUGUUGGGUAGGGGAGCGUUCUGUAAGCC